GCAGUGGGGAAUUUUGGACAAUGGGCGCAAGCCUGAUCCAGCCAUGCCGCGUGCGGGAAGAAGGCCUUCGGGUUGUAAACCGCUUUUGUCAGGGAAGAAAUCUUCUGGGUUAAUACCUCGGGAGGAUGACGGUACCUGAAGAAUAAGCACCGGCUAACUACGUGCCAGCAGCCGCGGUAAUACGUAGGGUGCGAGCGUUAAUCGGAAUUACUGGGCGUAAAGCGUGCGCAGGCGGUCUUGCAAGACAGGUGUGAAAUCCCCGGGCUUAACCUGGGAACUGCACUUGUGACUGCAAGGCUGGAGUACGGCAGAGGGGGAUGGAAUUCCGCGUGUAGCAGUGAAAUGCGUAGAUAUGCGGAGGAACACCGAUGGCGAAGGCAAUCCCCUGGGCCUGUACUGACGCUCAUGCACGAAAGCGUGGGGAGCAAACAGGAUUAGAUACCCUAGUAGUCCACGCCCUAAACGAUGUCAACUGGUUGUUGGACGGCUUGCUGUUCAGUAACGAAGCUAACGCGUGAAGUUGACCGCCUGGGGAGUACGGCCGCAAGGUUGAAACUCAAAGGAAUUGACGG
rnacentral:rRNA from 1 species